ACUUCUAAAGCAGAAGGCUCUUUCCCACUCGGCAUAUCCUUCAUCUCAAGUCCAUCGAAUUUAUCAGGAUCAUCAUUUGCCUUAGAAUCACCCUUGCGAUCUUGACCUCGACCCCCGCUUAUCCUGGUGAGCUGGUAUAAGGUUUUAAGAGAUUGUUUUCCCUUAGAUAGCAAACUUUUCUUUGUCCCAUUCUCCUUCACUUCACUAUGAGAUGGCUGAUCGCUCAUUUCUGCAUGAUAUUCAUUUUCAGCAUCUAUGUCUGCUUUGUCUCCUGGCUCUGAAGCAG
rnacentral:lncRNA from 1 species